UACGUAGGCAGCGAGCGUUGUUCGGAGUUACUGGGCGUAAAGAGUGCGUAGGCGGUUUUCUAAGUUUGGUGUGAAAUCUCCCGGCUUAACUGGGAGGGUGCGCCGAAGACUGGAAGGCUUGAGUAUGGGAGAGGUAAGCGGAAUUCCUGGUGUAGCGGUGAAAUGCGUAGAUAUCAGGAGGAACACCGGUGGCGAAGGCGGCAUCCUGGACCGGCAUUGACGCUGAGGCGCGAAAGCUAGGGGAGCAAACGGG
rnacentral:rRNA from 1 species